rnacentral:rRNA from 1 species
AACCCGCUGAACUUAAGCAUAUCAAUAAGCGGAGGAAAAGAAACUAACAAGGAUUCCCCUAGUAACUGCGAGUGAAGCGGGAAAAGCUCAAAUUUAAAAUCUGGCGGUCUUUGGCCGUCCGAGUUGUAAUCUGGAGAAGUGCUUUCCGCGCUGGACCGUGUACAAGUCUCUUGGAAUAGAGCGUCAUAGAGGGUGAGAAUCCCGUCUCUGACACGGACUACCAGUGCUAUGUGAUGUGCUUUCAAAGAGUCGAGUUGUUUGGGAAUGCAGCUCAAAAUGGGUGGUAAAUUCCAUCUAAAGCUAAAUAUUGGCGAGAGACCGAUAGCGAACAAGUACCGUGAGGGAAAGAUGAAAAGCACUUUGGAAAGAGAGUUAAACAGUACGUGAAAUUGCUGAAAGGGAAACACUUGAAGUCAGUCGCGUUGUUCAGAACUCAGCCUGGCCUCGGCUUGGUGCAUUUUCUGAACGACGGGCCAGCAUCAAUUUUGACCGUUGGAUAAAGGCCAGAGAAAUGUGGCUCCUUUGGGAGUGUUAUAGUCUUUGGUUGCAUACAAUGGUUGGGAUUGAGGUACUCAGCAUGCCUUUAUGGUCGGGGUUCGCCCACGUUCAUGCUUAGGAUGCUGGCGUAAUGGCUUUAAAUGACCCGUCUUGAAACACGGACCAAGGAGUCUAACAUGCCUGCGAGUGUUUGGGUGGAAAACCCGAGCGCGCAAUGAAAGUGAAAGUUGGGAUCCCUGUCGUGGGGAGCACCGACGCCCGGACCAGACCUUCUGUGACGGAUCCGCGGUAGAGCAUGUAUGUUGGGACCCGAAAGAUGGUGAACUAUGCCUGAAUAGGGUGAAGCCAGAGGAAACUCUGGUGGAGGCUCGUAGCGAUUCUGACGUGCAAAUCGAUCGUCAAAUUUGGGUAUAGGGGCGAAAGACUAAUCGACCAUUUGUCC